CCAGCUAAUAUUUCAGGGAAAAGGAGAAAUGCUUUCAUGAAUACUAAAAUACAUUUCAAGAGAUUAGUCACUAGGUGGCACUUCUGCUCUAAUUUCUCUUGCAUUCAAUAGCCAUCGUGAAAAAGGAACUUGUUUUAGUAUAGCUUUUAUCAGAGAAAGUCUAUGUUCGAUAGAUCUAAAAAAAGAUACUUUAACCUUAUAUGCAUAGCUGGGAAAUAAUCAUAGAUAAUUAAAUUAGCAUCUUCUUUUGUAGAUUUCAGAAUGUUCACAGCCAGUAGGUAUAUUUAGCCGCACUUUUCCACGUGACAAGGGUAAGGUUAAGACAACAGCAGAGGAAACAAAUCCCUACCUGUGAAACUCCACGAUAUUUCAAUAUGUAUGCACCAGAACCAUUGGGGGUCCUUAUAAAGGCCCUGAGCACUUUGGCUCACUCUUGGGGAUGAGACUUAAAGCCAUCUUGGGUACAGUGUUGUUGUCUGGUGCUGAAUAAGGGAGCUGAAGGAAAACUCAGCUUGAGGAGCUGUGGAAACAUGGCCCUUCAGCAUUACUGCACAUGAUACCCUUGAAGCCAGCUUAGGCUAUGAUUUAAUAAUGUACGACUGUUUCCUUCAUGCAUGAAUUGCUCAGGAUUGGACAGGGGUGAAAUUCUGAGUUGUUUCUCUCCAACGUUUGCUCAGGAUGCAACUGAACUGGACUGCACAUAAUGAUGUCCCAGCUACUACAGGCUCUUUUGGAGAAGAGGAUAACUAAUAUCUUACAAUCCUACUACAACUCCAUAAUCUCCAGGGCAAACAAGACUAUAGACAGAGAACUCAUGCUUUCUGAAUGCAUUGUCUGAGCAUAAGGGACACCCGUGGUGGAAUGACUCGUGCCUGCCUGGUAAGUGAGACACAUAGUUUUUAAAAAAUUUUCUUUAACAACUCUGCUGUUGUUUGUGUCAUCAAAGCAGCCUAUUAAUUGGUGUAUGCUUUGAUGCAAGAGGUUGCUUUAUUAAGCAUCUAACAAGUGCCAUUUGAUUUAUUCAACCAAAAAGUCUAGAUUAUGCUCUGUGUAUUUAAUGAAAAGGAUUUAGUAUGCUUUUAAGAAUGUAAUCUCUUGGUAGUACUACAGAAUAAACUGCCGUUAUGAAUGGACUAAGCUUCUUGGACUAGAUAUUCUCCUCUUUCUGAUAAAUUAAGAAAUAUAGAUAUGGGCCUGACUUGGAUACUGCAUAAGCAGAGAUCCUUUUACUAACUAUAACACUUUGAUUCUUGAAGUUUUCCUCUCUACUUGUAGCGCUGUAAAACAUUUUAAGGCCAGCUGGAUGCAUAGUGUUGGUGAGGUAAGAAUGAUGUUUCAGAUAGAGAUAUAAUUAUAUUUCUUUCUUUAAGCUGGACUGCAGGAGCAAAAGAUACAAGUGAAAUUUCUACAACAUCAUAUAAGAAGUGAUUCUACACUGAAAUGAAUUAUUUCUUUGUAGAUGAAAUGGAAGUGACAGAUGAAUAUAGAGGUUAAAUGAAUAGGUUUUACAUAUGCGUGUUGGUUUCUUUCACAGAAAAAAAUCUAGUCUGUAUAUUUAUUUUUUGGCAAAUUAGAUAAGAAUUUACAGUAGACUAAAUAUUAAAACCAACUGCUAGCAGUUUACUACACUGUAAUGCUGAAAUUGUUUAUGGACUUGCAUUUCAGAUGAUAAGAUCAGUUUUGAAAAGUACAGGUCUGCCUUUUUGUGGAGUGUUGCUCAUGCAUCUUCUUUCUAAAGCGCAGCCAGCCGGUAUUUUUGACUGAUUGGGAUCAUUCUGUUACCCAUUUUGUUGUCACUCAGUGUAUAAAAUGUUUUCCAUGAAUCAAAGGCUUUUCAAAGCGUGGUAGAUAGUAAAAUGGAUCAGGUCAAUUUGUAGAAAGUAUGCAUACCCCUGUUAGCUAUGACAAUUGUGGACCAAUUUUGUUUUGAAGGAAUAUUUGUUAAAUAUAUAAUAAUAAUAAUUUGAUUAAUAAGAUAAUUGUUAUUAUUUUAAUAAUAUAACAAUUUAAUAACAACAAUUUAAUAAUUUAAUAUAAUAAUAUAAUCAUUAAUUAUUAAUAAUAAAUAAUAUAAUAAGAAAUUAAAACUCUCAAAAUAAGCAAUAAGUACUCAAAGAGACAUCAUUAAAAUUAACAUACUUGGUAAUUCUUUUAGAUUUGUCACUGUAAGAGCUUUGGUUGUUGUGUUCUGCAGUUUUGCUACAAAUGCAGAAAGUAAACAGUUACGAAAUAAAAUAGAUUAUUUAAUGUUUUUUAUUUUUAGAAUGUAAACAUUUGAAAGGAAAGGUAUGAUGUGUUCAUUAAGUAUACUAAAAAAGUAUGAUUAUGUUAGAAUGUUUGUUUGCUCGGCAUUUGACCUUAGUUUCAUUUUGAAGUUUUAAUUUUUAAGGUCAAUGGACAAAUCAAAAUUUUGAAAAAAUAUUUUUUAACUAAAUGAAUUACAUUUGAAAGUUUGGAAAGUACUCAUUGAUUUAUCUUGACAAAAUGCAGAUCAAUUUGUAUUAAAGUGCUACUUUUAAACAAAAAUACUGGAAAGUUCUGAUUCCAAAAUGAUUUUUUUUUAACUUUUUACUCUGUCUUCUUUUUGGCAGGGGCGAUUACAUGAAUUAAACCCUUCCGUUCUUAUUUAAAAAGAAAGAAAGAAAGAGUACAUGACUGUUUACUUUUCAAAGUAGGAAAUAUUUGACAUUUCCAGAAUGUCAUCCAAAUCUUGUUUUUGAUCCACCUUGGCAAAUUUCAAUUUUUUACUCAGGUGUUUAUUUUCCUGGUUGUAUCCAUAAGUCUCAAGAAAACAUAUCUGUCAUACCUGUGAACCGUUUAUAGUGUAACAAAAAACCCUGAAUAUUCAAUCAAAAUAUGGUUGUUAUAGAUACAAAAUUUUCUGAAUGUGGAUUAUUUCUACACUUUUUGUCAAGUAAUCUGUUGGAACUUACUACUUCUGUUCAGUGAUGAAACAUGUUUUGUGCUUGCCUGUCCAUCAGCGUGGCUGAGCCUCUUGUACCUGAGGUACACAGGACAGAAGGUGCAGAUAGCGGUGUUAUUGGCAGCUGAGUACUAAUGAAGGAAAAAACAGGAAGUACAUCUGGGUAACGUAUGUUGUAAGUCAGAUUCCCCUUGUCAGGUCUUGGUUUUGAUUACCUAUUACUCUUAAAUCAUAAGCAGAAGUUUUAAGCCAUAACGAUGUCUGAUAAGCUUCUCCUUCACACUGUGCAGUUGUAAGAACACAAGUCUAGAUAAUCAAAUUUAAUAACAAUUCAAUCUUCUAUGGUUUUACUUAUCAGCCCGUUGACUCUUAGCACUGACAUCCUUUCCUCAGUAACCACUUUUUGUAUCAUGAGAAAUGUUUUUAUAGCAGAAAGAUAAAGAAGACUUCUCCCUAUUAUAUGAGUAAGUAAGUAAAUAUGCAGAAAAAAUCUUUAGGUAAGAAGAUUAGAUACAUAUAGAGCAGGUCCAGAGGAGGACCAUGAUGAUGAUCAGAGGGCUGGAACACCUCUGUGAGGACAGGCUGAAGACGGGACUAUUCAACCUGAAGGCACCAGGGAGACCUUAUAGUGGCCUUCCAGUAUCUGAAGGGGAGCCUUCAGAAAGCUGGGGAGGGACUUUUCAUGGGGGCAUGUAGCCACAGGACAAAGUGAAAUGGCUUUAAACAGAAAGAGGGUAUAUUUAGACUAGAUAUUAGGAAGAAAUUCCUUAUUGUGAGGGUGAUGAGACACUGGAACAAGUUGCCAAGAGAGGCUGUGGAUACCCACUUCAUGGAGGCAUUCAGAACCAGGCUGGAUGGGGCUUUCAGAAACCUGGUCUAGUGGGGGAUGUCCCUGCCUAUAGCAGCGGGGUUGGAACUAGAUGGUCUUGAUAGUCCCUUCCAACCCAAACCAUUAUUUUAUUCUAUAUCUGUAAAAAUUAUUAUCUGAACUAAAAUGGGAGUUUGGAAGACCCUUGACAUCAGGGAAGGAGUUAGAGGAAACUGGAAGUCACACUUGUGCUAAGUAGUACAUGAAGAAGAACUGGCCAUUCCACUGCAAUUUUAAGCCACAGACAUUAAAAUUUGUGGCUCAAGGGAAGACUGAUGAAGGAGCUUACACAAAAAUAAUGAUGAGAAAGGGAAAGGGGAUAGAUUGAGAAAGCUUAAUACUCUUAGGCAAUUGAAGCAUGUAAAUAUCUAAUAAGUCAAGCAAGAGAAGAAAAUGGAGGAUUGAUGACUUUUGGACUUUCGACUAUUACAUGAAUAUGAGAAAGAGCAAAACUUUAAAGAGUGGAAGCACAAAGCCCCAGUUCUGUCUGCCAGCAAUGUAUGGCAGUAUAUAUAAUUAUGUAAUAGAGGGAAAAUAGAAAAAAAAGUAGCAAUACAAUUUAUAUGUGAUUGAUGGAUGGUCAAAGUUCAAGGAAGCACAAUAAGGAGCAGUGCCAUUUGACUCUGAUACUUUUUCAAAGUAUACCAGAUGCAUCUUGAACCAUCCCAGCUACGUUUCAUCUAGGGCAAUGUUUAUAUUCUCCUCUUCUGAAGAAUGUUCUUUUUCUUGCCUCUCAGAUAACCAGCCUUGAAAUACUGCAGGAGUGAAAUGGAUGUCACUGCCUUUUGACCCUGAGGGUUAGAGUGUUUCAGAUGCAGGUAAAGUGACCCAUUCACUUAAAGUUAUGGAAAAAAAAUCAUACCAGAGGUAAAAUCCUAAGACUGUAAAAGCAGAUGAGGCUGACAUGAGCUGUUUGGGAUUCACUGCAGUGAGAGGGGCUCUGUCCCUCCUCCAGUUGGCAGCUAGUCCACCUUUCUCUAUAGGGAAAGGCCAGAAUUCCUCCCUGUGGGAUAUUGUCUUGUAUCCUCUCUAUGCUAUAUCUUCAGGGCUGUAAAGUGGAAUCAACAGAUUGAUUUACUGAACCUCUCCUGUAUCAGAGGAGACGCAAUGGUUUGCCUCCUGUAAGCCACCCCUGGGCAAGGUCUGUGUAAGCUGGCCCUUCCGAGUGGUGCCAGGGGCUCCACAGUGUGCUGCCAGGGUCCACCCUGGGGCUCAGAGCUUUCCCAGGGCAAAUUAUCUCUGCUGAAUGGCAAGAGUAAUUAGCCUGGAUCCAACACAGUCCUAAUACAAGUAUUUGCUUCUUUUGUUUGUUUCUUUGUUUUGCCUUGGAACUUGUACAGAGAUUUGGUGCUUUGUGGUGCUAAAUUGCACUUCAUGAUCAUGCAUACAAAGCACAAGAUUUACCCGGUUGUCUUUCUCUGCAUAUAAGCUUGCAUAAUUACUUAUUCAGGUCGAGGUUUGUUCUUACAGUUGACGUUUUGUUGGCUGAGAUGCUGGGUGUUCUUUUAGCUGAGAGAGCUUUCAUUAGCCAUUAAAGUGCAUCUAAAUGCAAGAACCAUUUUGAUGAAUUCAGAGAGAUGCGAAUGAAAGUCAUUCCAUAAGAAUUUGUUGUGUCUUCUGCUCUUAAUAGACUUUUAUAUCAGUGGCCUGUUACCUAAUUGCAGAAGAUGAGUUCUAUUUUACAAGGGGGUAGGUUAACAGAACUCUAAAGUAAGUUUUGGAAUUAUGUAAAGUAAACAUUGAAUUACCAUCCCAUCUCCAUCAUCGACACAUUAGUAAGAGAGAUGAAUGAUAAUGCAAAAACUAUAGGGUGUAGCAAUAUAAAUAAUAAUAUAAAUCGAUGUGGUUUCAAAAAAUGUGUUUGGUUUAACUUUACAUAUACUUCCAAGCACCAAAAGAUAUGUAAAAUUCAGGCAGGGCUUUUCAGAACAAGCAGUGUCUUCUAUGUGCAUUAGCUGCUAUCCUUUCUGUCACAUGAGACCUGUGGGUGAAGAGCAGCAGUAAGAACAAUUGAAAAAGAGGCCCUGUAUGAAUAUGGGUUUUUGUUUUCAGUUUGCCCAUUUAAGUGUUUUAUUUUUACAUGAAUUCAGAGGGUUUAUAUCUACCAACCACGAAACAAGCAACCUGCUUGUUUUCAAAGCCUUAUCACAUGACACAGGAGCCCAGAUGACAGUUCUUAGUGAGAUAACUGAAUUCUCACUACUUAUGUUUCCCUUACAAAUCAGUGGAAACUGUAGAUUGUGCAAUUAGCUUAUUUAAAUCUUCCCCAGCUUUCUACAGUGUAGAAACCAAUUCUUUCACUCUUGAAUUCACAUUUUGUUUGCCAAGUGGGAGAUCAUAUCCAAAGUACACAUGUUUACCUAGAAAGGAGUAGUCACGUUCUUCUAACUAUCUACAUAUACACACAGAGAAAGACAGACUGCAUUUCCACUUCACUGUAUAUUGCUCCUUGGGUUACUAGGUUUCCUUGUUUGCUAGUGGAAGAAACAGACAGUUACAUGUUUAAAGAAACUAUCUUAAUCAAAUCUUAAUUGACAAUAAUGUAAAUCACACAUAAGAAGAACUGCUUUUUUUCCCCUGUCUGUCUUGAUUUCUUUGAUAUGUCUGGAGUCUAUUUUAGCUUGAAAGCACCUCAUCUCCUGAACACAUUCUUGGGGAUAUAUAAAGUCCUUGAUUAUUAGAACCUAGGGUAGAAAAAUUACACUUAGAUAAGCAUGACUUUCAAGGCUUACACUUAACAUGUUUUGUUUUUUUUUUUUUAUAAUCCUGCAGAAUUGCAGAUUAGGGCAGGCUAAAAAUAGGGCAAAAGAAUUUUGUAUUCCUCAAUUCAAAGCAAGAAAUAGCACAGAAAUAAGGAGUUUAGUUUUAAAAGAAACUACACUUUUCCUCAUUUGCAAAUUGAUUAAUUUUUAUGUUCAUAUUCACAUGUUUUCUGGGUAACUCUAAAUAUUGGACUGUGAAAAUGGACAACAGUAGAUUACAGUUGUGGUGGGACACAACCUGUGUUCUUAACAGAUAGUUUUUAUUAUAAUUAAGCCUAAGAUUUAUACAAAUGAUCCAGACAGUUCAGGCCUUAGUCCUACAGUCUCCCAUUUAGUAGGAUUUUAUUUCUUUGGCUGAAACUGAGUGCUCCAGCUCAGUAUUACUAAUCUAAACUCCUCAGUCAGUCCCUCUUGAUUGCCCUUAUCAGGAAAUAACUUCUUGGAAAUACGACAGGAAUAUCUUUUUGCAGUUCUUCACUGAGAAGAGGUCCCUUUCAACCUCAGUGAUUCUGUGAUUCUAUGAAACAAUGUUGUGAUCAGAGCACUCUUCUGGAAACAGGAAAUAGAAUCCAUUUAUUGCUAGUGAUGAAUUGUUCAAAAUAGUGCAUCCUAUUUCUGUGAGGAAAAUCCUAAGCAUGAUGUGGAAGAAGUGUUCUUUUGCUCACUGUAGCUUGUCAGUACAAAGCAUCCAGAGCUAGGGAGAUGAGACCAGAGUUUCUUUGUUCUAGUGUGAGAAACAAAGGAAAUUUUUGUUUCUGUCCCCACCUCUUCUUUGUGCAUUGAAUACAGGGACUGGAUGUUGUGAAAGAGUAAAGUUUUGUAAGAUCAUCUAACAGUCAUUGUUAGAAAGACAGACGUACCUGAAAACUUCAGACAGAUUUUCAGAUAUAGCUCUCUGUCACAUCGAAAGCAGAGACACCAAAUACCCAGUUAAAUAGGACCAAAUGUCCUGGUUAUAACCAAGCUGUGUUAAACUUAUGCACAGUUUAGGGAGUGCUGAUGAGGAAUUCAGGAUUGGGAGAGAGAGAGGUGGUUAGUAGAAGUGGGAUAAAUUGUGAUGGACAUAAGGCAUAGUUUUCCUUCCAGUUGGUGUCAUUUAGUUAGAUUUUUUUUCUCUUAUACUUGUCUUAAAAGUGUCAGUAAAUUCUUUUUGAAGUCCAGCUGUGAGGCUCUGGCUUGAGGUCCUGCUUUGACUGUGCAGACCCAUUUCCGUGCUACCCCCAGGACUGUGCUGUUGUGACUGUGUAGUGAGCAGUGUCAGAGGAUACUACCGAGAUGGAAACAAAAAGACAGAGGCAGACAAAAAAGUAGUAAUGGGGGAGAAGGGCUAGUUGCAUUUUGGGUCAUAUAAGUGCAGAAUUGAGAUCUGAGGGGUCGGCAAUGAUGUGACUGCUGUUUGAAGAUUGUUCUCCUGGUAGGUGUCUGUUAUUUCAGUUGCUCCAGUGGGCUGAAACUCUUCAUUGUUUAUAGUACUUAGUCAUUAUAUAAAGCAGAUGUAUUUUAUUUUCUUGAGAGAUGCUGGAAACCACUCAAGAAUCAAAGUAUGUGUUUCUCAUGAAAUGUGGGGGUUAUGUCAAGUCCUUGGAACUGAGGAAAGAAUGCAUGUUUUCUAUUUUUGGGAUGUUAGUCAUGUAUUAUUGUGACAACAGAACUCCUUUGAGUAAAACCAUGUGAAUAACUUGUUUUAUCCCUUGGCAGAUGAUCCAAGCCUAAAAGAAUAUUCAGGUCAAUAUCUAGUGAAAAUUUAACAAGUCUCUUUGGUAAUUAAAUAUGAUUCAUAUUUAUGCUAUUCACAUUUAGCAAACAUGAAAAAAGAAAGUUGGAAACAAAAGGGUAAGAUCCUGGGGUUCUGUUCAGAGAACAGAACAGGGAGGAACAGAGACUUGAACGUCUUGGAAGUGCUCCCAUGUCAUUAAAGAGCAUUGGAGAAGCACUUCCUCACUUUGUCAUCUCAAGCAUAUACUAAUUGAGAAAAAUAGGAGUGUUUCAGGCAGGAAUUAGGAAACCUCACUGAGGCUCUUGCCUGUGGCCUGACCUGCUGCACUUUUAUAUUCUAAUCACAGCGCUUGAAUGGAUGAUAACACCAUACUUAGAACUUGUGUUAUAUUUAUUCCAAAUGGCUUGCUUACAAAUUUCCAGUCCUAAUGAAUGAAGUUCACAGAAGUACUGAACAUAAAGAGAGGAGGAAUUUAGGGGAAGAAUUUUUAUUUUUUCUUUUUAAAUUCCUUGACAAACUAAACUAAAGUUCUUCUGGAAGUGUCAAAGUGAGGAAAAAAAAAACACAAAAAAUCCUCAAAACCUUAAAGAUUUCUCCCCCGAACUAUAGACUUUAUUGGAAAAUAUCUUGGGGUAAACCAGGUCAAUAACUAUACCAGGGAUGUGUGCAUUUGUAAAGUGUUAGCUGCUUGAACCAGUUGUGCUGGGACUUAGCAAGUGAAAGAUUUUCCCCAACAGUUAUUGUAGUUUAAGUAUAAACUCUUACUCCAUUUUUGUGAAUCAGAAAACAAGGUGUGGUUAAAUAUUAGUUUUACUGUCACUAGAACAUGGGGAGAGGAAGAAUAAAUGCAAAAACAAUGUUGACUCCAUUCUUGGAUGAGCAUCUUUUGUUUUUUCUCACAGUAAAACAUCAGAAAAGAAGACAAUGAAUCUCACUACUUUGUUAAAGUUAUGAGAAACAGUGGUCUCACGAUUCCUCAUGGAGAUUUUUAGAGAAAACAAGUUCCAAGUCUCUCAGCCACUCAGCCUUGCUAAUCCAGAAUUGACUGGACUAACCAAAUCCAUUUUAAUCCAGUUGUUUUCAGAAUUGGUUGGGUUUCAAAGGGAGUAGAGCAUCGACGUUUGUAAGCAGCACAAAGGUCUCUGAACACGUAUUUAUUGUCUUAAACGUUAUUUUUUACCACCUCUUCAAGUCUGUGAAUUCAGAAGCUUUCUGCUCCUUUCUAUUCCUUGAUACUUCUCUGUCUUCUUUGUAGUAGAAAGGAGAGAGUUCUAGCCUUCAAGGAGAUUGCUGUGGUACUAUAAGGUAACAAUAAACUAUGUGCUUCAUAUGUAAUUACGUAUGUGGCUCACUCUUUCUGUCACUAGAUAUGGAGGCACUCUGACUUCCAGCUGGAUAGAGAAAGGCAAGGAUCACUGAAAACUGGGUUUUUAUCAGCGAUGGACAGAACAUAGCAUAUAAUUUGACACAAAGCAAGGAUCAAGAGGAACCUUAGGCUUGAGGUUUUGAAUUUCUAGCUUUAUCCAGGGUGUAAAGCCAGCUUUAGUUGACUCUCCCAGAAAAAAAGAAGCUUCUUGGCUUGUUCUCUAGAUGGCCGCAGUGCUACUUGCUACGUAUUAUGGAGGAAAGCAAGAGCGAUGUUUUGCUGUCAGAGCAUGUUCAAUAUAUAAUCCAGCUCUGACAAGAACUGGCAAAGUACAUCACAUUCUAGAAGGGCUUUUUCUGUCCCUGCAGAAGAGGUAAAAAUGAUAGACAAUUUUACAGUACUCUCUCUUUGUGCUAUAUAAGAUCUGUAUGAAACCUUCUCCAUGAAGAAUGCUUAUGCUGUUUUUAUGGUUAUAGGCAUGAUCCAUAAAGGGAAUGACAAUGAAUUUUAGCCCUCUAGAUCAGUUUUAAGUAUGAAUGCCUUAAAAUAAAAUAAAAAUUAAAAUUAAAAAAAAAAAAAAGCCGGGCAAUACUUUGAUUUAGUGCUAACAUUUAUACUAUCAGAAGAUGGAAUCUUCAAAAUGCAUUCAGCUUUUAACAUACGAGUUGUUAACUUGAAUGAUUAAAAAACCUGUAGCAACCGUAAUUAAACAUUAAUAAUUAAAAUUUAAUAAUAGGCAGUAAGAUAAAUUGACAAAUUAUGUUAUUUUGUAAUUUUCCAUUAAACUGUGAUAAGAAACGUCUGUUUCCAAAAAAGUAAUAUAUAUUAUAUAUAUAAUCUAUAAUAUAUAGAAUCUCAGCCAGUACCUGCAAUACACUUGUAAUUCACCUCAACUGAUUAAGAAUGUUUAUGCAAGAGCAGGACAGCAGGGAAUCCAUUUAGGUAAAGUACUUUGAUGAAUAACUGUAUGCUUAAGAUUAAGCUGGUAUCUAAAUGCUUGCUGCAUCCAGACCAAAGAACAUAAUGAGAUAUUUAAUUAUAAUCUUCAGACUAGAAUCUGAGAAAGAAGCAUUUGAUGCAGAAUGAAAGAAAGGGGUUAUUUUUGAUUUUCUCUUUUCCUUCCUCUCCAGCAGCUCAAUUUUAUUCAGUGCAAGUCACCUUGCAGUGCAGGUUGUUCUCUGCAGGGUUUGUGGAAUUGUGAAGCUCAUGCUCUGUAUCCUGAUUAAAAGGCAAUAGGGCCACCCAAAGUUUAAGUUAGGGUAGAAUCUUAUCAGUGGAAGUUAUUUUGACAGAACAGAAGACAAAGAAAUAGAUAAAGGAUUAAGAAGAGAUGAGUGAAAGAAAAAAAAAAAAGAGAAAAGGAAGUGUGUGUCUGUGAAAAAAAGAGAAGAAGAGGGGUAUGUGUGCAUUAAUGGUUAUUUGGGAAGCAAAAUGAUAGUUUGUAAAAGAUCCCAAGAGAAAAUCAUGUUUCUUCAAACCUUCACAGCCAGCAUUUUAGUGAAGGUAAUCAAUGGAGAUUUUCUUCCCUUCUUCCCUUUUUCACUUCUUCCAUUUCUUCCUUCCUUUUUGUGUAAUAUGAAUAAGUUAUUAAUUCUACAGAUGUUUUUAUGAGUUUCUGGGGAAUUAGAAAUGAGCACAGCUUGAAGAACAUUAUAUAUACAUAAUUGCAUGGCUCUGGCAACAAAGAGGGAAUCGUGUUUUGUGUUCAAAAUAAUAUUUUUAUGCCAUAAGAUAUAGAUAAUGAAAAGAAAAAGAAUUAAGAUGAUGAUUUAAUAGCUUUUAAUCCUGGUGAUUGAAUAAGUGAGGUGAUGUCUUGCAAGGCAAAGAAUGACAACAGAAUAUGUUCAAUGUACUUCCUGAAUGGAUGGAGACACUUCAGUCUUUGAUAGCACUUUCAAGUUUGUUUUUCCUGUGUUACUGCAUUAAAUGCCGUAAAGGCAAUUGAAUACCAAAGAGCAUUGUAAUGAAAAAAAAAAAAAAAAAGUAUAAUUUAUCUUGAGAGAGAUGAGAAAAAUUACAUCUUAGUAUAUUACACUGGGUAAAUGCCUAGUAAAAAUGGACUGUAAUAACUGAGACCUCUGUUCAAUGAAAGUCAACAUCAUAGUAACAGGAAAUGCAGAUGAUUCCUGGUUUUCGUUUCUGCAACAUAGGGAUGGACUAUUCUAGAGAGGCUGAAAUAAAAAGUCACUGGCGGAAUGACUCACUGAGGAAUAACUUUGUUGUAAAUGUCAUAUUCCAAUCCUGUCAGAGGUUUAUUAAGUAAAUAAGACCUUGACAAGCAGGAGUGCCAAUGGUAUCAAUAAAACUUUGAAGACAAAUCCUGUAUUUGAGUUGGAAAUAUCCACUAACAAAUGGAUCUUUUUAUUAGCUCAGUUCCCUCAGUGGAAAAUUAUGAAGAGCAGCUUAUGUGCAUGUGUAAGAUCUGUGUAUAUGUUCAUUGUCUCAUAUGCGAUAAGCAUGGUUCCUAAUUUUUCUAUGUUCUCCCACAGCUGGAAGAGAAGGUGGGUGCGUUCAUUCUGCACAUGACUGAGAAAUGUUCUUAGGCUAUCAGUUUUGUCACUAGAGCUCAAUUUUCCAUUUUGUCUCCACAUUUUCAUAGUGUUUUGCCUUUCAUAUGUUGCCAGAGGAGGAUCACAUGUUGUGGAUAGAACUGUAGUUGUAAUCUAAAAUUUUCAAUAUUUUGUUUGAAUUUCAAGAAUUAGCAAAUUCUUAUUCUUAUGAAAUGUUCCUAAGUUUCUGCUUACCUUCAUGCAACAUAUGUUUUGAGGCAUGCUACAUAUAGAUAUAUGUUAAUAAAAACUUGUGUAUUUUUGUUAAUGUUUAUGUAUAAGAUUAUUUAAUGUUUUCUUCUAUUUUAUCCAGGAGAUGUAUAUACAAUUAACCGCAUGGAGUGUUCCAUAUCUCCUCUCAAACAGAUCAAAGAGAGGAUUGAUUUAUGUACAAGUGGCCCACAGGGAAGAAACAGUUGAGGUGUAGUAGCUCUUUGAAGAAAUAUCACAGAAAGCAGAAUUAACAUGGGUAACCAGACACGAUUCUUCACUUGUUUCAUUAAUACUGCAGAUAAAAAUAACUAUGCAAUUUUGAUUUUCAACUCUCGACCUGAACUGUUACAGCAGUAUAGGUGGUAUAAAGAAGAUAAAUCAGGUGACCUUGUUCUCCAUUUAUAAUGGUCAAAAAUACACAUUUAAAGCAAAUAAAUACUCAAUCACACUUUGGAAUUAAUUGUAUCAAAUAAGCUAAAGAGAGACUGGUAUAAAGUGUUCUUAUGAAUUUUGAGAUUCUGAUCAGUCACAUUUGUUUAGGAGAGAGUUUUUUUUUCUCACGGGGUGUCUCCAUUUGCUGCAUUAUCUCAAACAAAGAACAAGAUCUGAAUUUUUUAGAAGAAGGAUAUGUAAACUCAAUAGGGAACAUUUAUUUCUAUUCAAAAUGAUUUGGUUGGCUCAUGCCCUGAAGAAUGAUGGCUUGUAUUAGAGAAGAGUAAUUAGUUAUAGCAAGUCAUUAUCUUUUAAAAAGAAAUAUCGUUUCUUGCAAGACAAGCAUCCAAUAUAUAACCAAUCUGACAGCAGACCUUAAAACAAAUUGAGGUCAAAUCAUGUUAUAUGGUUAGAAAAUUUAGUUUAUGGAAUACAAGCAAAAGAUUCUAUUUUUUCCUCUUAAACAAAAAUGUGUAUCAGACAGUAACAUAGUUCUUGACACAUAGAAUUUGGCCCCCGGAUCAGAAAUGUAUGUCACAGACAGAUUGGAUGUUCCAUUGUACUGCCAUUCCCAUUCCAUUGGUUGCAGCAUCCAAUUUUUUUGUUCAACUGUCAUUAUGAAACAGCUAUUUGUUUUGAGAAAUUACUAACAAUGGGUGUAUUUUGCUCUGUUUUCUAACAGAAACACAGGAGAGUGAGAAUGGCAGCAGGGUAGGGGAUUGUUACAGCUGAAGUAAUCCUUACUUGCAAAUUUCUUCUGCCUUUUGAUCUGUCAGCAAGUCCCUCUUCACAGCAGAUGCAAUUUCCAAUACGUUCGCAGCAACAGAGAUCUCUGCGGAAGUUGAAAAUGAGCAGUACUGACAGUCUAAUGUGUGAAGUUGAAGAGAGAUGUCUUGGAAAUUUGGGGCCCAAAUGGUACAAAGAAAAAGAAAAAUUGAAAAAAUUACAACAAUAUUUAAUUUACAAGUAUCUUUGUGAGUAUGUAAAAUGUAUAGUAAAUAGAGUUUUGGACAAAGGUCUUGGAACUAAGAAAGAUACGUAUUUUCUUUUUAGUAUCAUAGCAAACUACCCACCCAUUAAACUCCCCAGCCUCUGUUUUAAGAAGCUCAAGAGUUUGCCAGAACAUCAGAACACAAAAGAUCUGUAGAAAAUAUAGAUCUGCUAUUAGCAGCAGCAAAAUGCAGUAGGUCUGAUAGAAACUGUGCAAACACCCACACACAUAAAAAUCUGUUUUUGACUUUUACCACUGAUAAUCUUCCUCUCAAAAUCAAGGUGUUAUGUUCACAUCAGUAAAGAACAUCUUUCAUGAUUUGAUGCUCCAGACACAGAGCUGAAGAUGUAGAUUUCUCCUCUUUCUCCCCUCCUAUGUAAUGUUUUUUUCUCUCCUCUUCAUCCUCCAAAAAGAAAAAUGAGGCUUGAUGGAGCGUUUAGUUGUUGCUUUUUUUUUUGGUAGGAACUGUCUGUUAGGGCCAUGGAGAAGAUUGCCCAGGACACCCGAAGGCAUUAUUUUAUGCUAGUCAGCUGCAAGGUAUGGUUUUUAAAGCAUUCAUAAUAAAAAAUCUAAGAGCUGGUCAUUCUCAUUCCAAUUGUGAUCAAUGUAUAGUUGCGUAAUUAUAAAGUAGAAUACAAUUGAAAGUUUAUUUAAAUCACAAAAAAACAGCUUUCUUAAUGGGAAUCACACUGAAACUAGUUCUCAUUCAGAACUGAAUGAAUAAAAUAAAGGAACACUGACACCAUGGCCAAAACCUUCAACUGACUUUACAUUUGAUACAUAUAAAUAAUGUAAAGUUGCCAUAGAAAGCAGUCUGCGGGAUUUCUGAAACAUCAGUUAUUGUCGAGUGCUGAAAAGUACUUCAGGUUUCUUUUUCAUAGGGACCCAAAGCAAAUUCUCGUGGGUUUUUAUCAAAGAAAAGGCAGAAUUACUUCUGAAAUGCUGCUGAAUUCUCAUUAAGUUUGUAAUGCUUGCACAGUAUGCAACAUCUGCACUCUUCCUUUUUCCCCCAAAGAACAAGUACCACAUGCAAGAUGGAAUAUUAAUUGAUUUUUUCUUUUAUGCAUUUUUAGUAAUGCAAGUCACUUGAGGGAAAAACUUAAUUGCAAUGGCACAGCAUCCACAGAUUCUGAAUAGGCAGAGUAUAAUGAAUGAUUAAAUGUGAGGUCUCACUACUACGGUGGAAAAUUGAACAAACCUAAUGAUAUCAAUGGCUCUUUCAUUUUUGCAGAUUUCUAAUGAUUAAAUUAAAAUGGUGAGCCAAAAAUUUCUCCAGCAUAAAAACCACUUAAGAGUUCUUGUUAUAUGGAAGUGAAACAGAAGUUGUGAUUUCCAAACUUUUUGAAGUCCAGUAACCUCCAGAGGGUGUGACACUAGCAGUUGUGCUCCCAGCUACCUUGAAGCUGAUCUAUUUGCUGACAACCUGAGAAACAUGAAGCCCUUUGUCUCCAAAGGUCUCUAAGAUCCAAAGGGGCUUCGCAAUGGGUUUGUUACCAGUGUAGCAGGGGUACAUGCAGAGAAGAAACUCUUCAGUGUUUCUGUGGCUUAAAAAGAAAUCACAGCUCAUGGUGCUAUUUCAGAAACCUGCCCAGUGAUAUCACUGCAAGUCCAGGUGUAAGGAGAUUCCAUAUGGAUGUUAGACCCAUUCAGAGCUCUUUCAUUAUAAACAACAGUUUCUAUGGUCCUAGGAAAAUUUUACACUUGAAAGAACCCACAUUUUUUUCUUCUGGCCAUUUCUCUACCACUGCUUACUCAAAUCAGUGUAGCUGAGGUCAUUUUGUAUUUCUUGUCUGAGGUUGUCAAAUUUAUUUUCAGCCUUGUCAAGUUCAGCCUUUGUUUUUUCCCUCUGUGCUAAGGGGACAUUUAGUAUAAGAGUGCUUCUGUUGGCAUUUCUUCUUCUGUCCCCCUUUUGACAUACUGCUUCUUGUGCCACAUAUUGCUCUGUGACUGCUUCUGGUUCAUUUUAAACCACAGACUGUUUUCUUUCUCUUCUUCAUUGUCUGUCUUACAACCCCUAAUGCAACCUUCAGACUCCCUGCAGAAAAGCAGUUUUUUAUGAUAUUUGGUUUGCAAUUCUUGCUUCAUCUGAUGUGAACCCAAGAAUUUGAUCAGAAUACCUUGAAAAGAAAAUUAUGCAAUUCUACAUCAGGAUUUGGGAAAAGUGUGGUAGCAUCUCUUACCAGUAGUAAAAUGCUCCUGGUGGUACACUCUGUAUCAUAAAAACCAUCUCAUCAGCUCUGAUGGCUUUUGAAAAACAAAAGCCAAGCACAGCAUUAAGGUAGAUUGAAAUAAAAAUAUUUUCAAGUGAUAUACUAUGGAAUGGAGAAUAGAUAAAUCCCACAAGGGCACAAUUUCAUUACUUAUUAAUCCCAUAAUUUACUUAACUUGAUAACUUACCUAUAGUCAGAUAUCUGUUCUUUCACUGAUCAGCAACUCAUGGUUCAGUUUUGUCAUAAUGCAAACCAUUCUGGGGGGCUCACUACCAGGAGUUAAACUGCUAUAGACAAAAUCUAUCAUAGGUAAAAUUUAAAAUGUAUUUAUAUUUUAUUUGUUUAUUUAACUUAUUUUAUAUUGUAUAAAUAUAAAAUACAUAAGUAUAAAACAUAAUAAAUAAAUAUAAAAGCCAAAAGGAAGUAGAAUGUAUAAAAACUAAAUGGAAAUUUGUAGAAAUUUGUUUCAGUGGUAUCAAUCUGAGUAUGGUUUUUAAAACUAUGUCCUCUUGGGAAUUUCAUAUUUUAAGAAUGAAUGUAGGAGCUGCUAAGUCAUUCUGAAAUCAUACUCUCUUUACUGAACAGGUAAAGAAUCAAAAGUCAAGGAACUGGAUUCAAAACACCUCCUUGCUUUUGGCAUAAGCUCUAUGAUAUCAUGUCUGAAGCAGGGCUUAGAGACUGCCACAUGGCACACAUUUAUAGCAGCAUUGAUCUCAUCUGAAUUAGUAAACAAACUGUCUAAGUUAUUUUUCUACUGAAUUCGUGGUACUCAUUAUAGUAACUGAUAUAGUAAUUCAUGGUACUGAUUAAAGUAAUAACUACACCAUUGUAAACAGCUUCCUAUCCAUCUGCUUGCAGAUCAGUUCACAGAUUGAUCUGUAAAGUUACACAGUUCCAUGCUUGCUUGUUUCUGUGCAGUUAUUGAUUUGUUGUGUAUUCACCGGGAAGCCUCCAGCACACCUGUGGCUUUUAUAGCACGUGGUGCUAACCAGGGAAGCACUGCUCACUCACUCGGGCUUCUACCAGGUGCAGUGGCUCAGAUCUUCAAAAUUUGGAGUAAGUUCAGUCACACAAAGCUGACAACAGCCUUUUUCUAACGGUCUGUCAUUUUUCCAUCCUUAAGUUGACUGUAUCUGCAUGUUUCCCAGAUACACACAGGCACAUCUCUCAAAAAAGAGUGUAUGGAUCACCAUGAGCUGAGUGUGUGGUUGUCUCAAACCAUGCUCUUGGAACUGGUAGAUCGAGAACCCAUUUAUGGAUGCUAUUUUGUUUCAUACCUUUGUCAAAAUGAAGGCUAUUCAGCCAUUUUGCCAAGAGAAUUCUGGAUUGUCUAGAAUUUCUACACAUCUUUCAGCAUAAUUAAGGAUCAAAUACACAGCUACGCAUUCAGAUGUAUCCUGUGGAUUCAUGUUUUUCCCUGGAAUUUGCUAUUUUCCCAUACGGUCAUUUCUGCCAUAAUUCUCUUCUGGGAGUAUGCAUGUUAUUGCCAGUAUGUAAUUAAAAGUGUAGAAAACAGAAAUCUCCCAUCACAAUUUAGAUUCACUUGGAAACACUCAUGGCCAGAUACCUUUCUUCUGUUCAAAAAAACUCCAAAAACACUCGAUCUAAUAAAGACAUUUUCAUUAAGGGAAUUGGAAGGAACAUCACACCUGAAAAUGAAUAAUUGUCUGGUUUAAAAAAUAUAUAUUUAGGUUUCCAUGCUGCCAUCAGAUUCUUCCUCCCUUCUAAUUUGCUCUGCACUUCUGUGGAAUAAAAAUGUGCCAAUAAUUCCAAUAAUUCCAAUAAUUGCUCUGGAGCAACCCUUUCACAUCCAGAAACAGUUUCCCUCCUCAAUUCCAUUUCAGCCGUAUGGGCUGGUGGCAACCACUGCUUAGUGUGUGCCACCAGCCUUUUCUUUGCCAUGGCAAAGGCCCAACACACUAAUGAAAAUGAGACAGUCCGGUGUGUACUUGAAGGUGCUAAGCCAAACAUCUUCCAUUUCUGAAGGGACAAAGUAUAUCUUUCCCAAGCUCUUCUCUAGGGAAAGCAAUCCACUGGUAUUCGUGGGGAAAACUGCAGUUGUUAAGGUCUA
ensembl:lncRNA